UAUCGCCUACGGGACGCAGAAGUAGGGAAUUUUUGUCAAUGGGCGCAAGCCUGAACGACCAAUGCCGCGUGAACGAGGAAGGUCUUCGGAUCGUAAAGUUCUGUUGAAGGGGAAAAAGAGCGGAGAGAGGAAAUGGUCUCCGAUUGAUAUUACCCUUCGAGGAAGUCACGGCUAACUACGUGCCAGCAGCCGCGGUAAUACGUAGGUGGCGAGCGUUAUCCGGAAUGAUUGGGCGAAAAGGGUGCGUAGGCGGCCUGCUAAGUCUGGAGUGAAAGGUACGGGCUCAACCGGUACAGGC
rnacentral:rRNA from 1 species